CCUACGGGGGGCAGCAGUGGGGGAUAUUGCACAAUGGGGGAAACCCUGAUGCAGCGACGCCGCGUGAGUGAAGAAGUAUUUCGGUAUGUAAAGCUCUAUCAGCAGGGAAGAAAAUGACAGUACCUGACCAAGAAGCCCCGGCUAACUACGUGCCAGCAGCCGCGGUAAUACGUAGGGGGCAAGCGUUAUCCGGAUUUACUGGGUGUAAAGGGAGCGUAGACGGUUAUGUAAGUCUGGAGUGAAAGCCCAGGGCCUAACCCCGGGACUGCUUUGGAAACUGUGUAACUGGAGUGCAGGAGGGGCAGGCGGAAUUCCUGGUGUAGCGGUGAAAUGCGUAGAUAUCAGGAGGAACACCGGCGGCGAAGGCGGCCUGCUGGACUGAAACUGACGUUGAGGCUCGAAAGCGUGGGGAGCAAACAGGAUUAGAUACCCCUGUAGUC
rnacentral:rRNA from 1 species